rnacentral:rRNA from 1 species
UACGAAGGGGGCGAGCGUUGUUCGGAUUUACUGGGCGUAAAGGGCGCGUAGGCGGCGCACCAAGUCAGGCGUGAAAGCCCUGGGCUCAACCCGGGAAUUGCGCUUGAGACUGGUGUGCUUGAGUACGGGAGAGGAUAGUGGAAUUCCCAGUGUAGAGGUGAAAUUCGUAGAUAUUGGGAAGAACACCGGUGGCGAAGGCGGCUAUCUGGACCGUAACUGACGCUGAGGCGCGAAAGCGUGGGGAGCAAACAGG